ACAGAAAGAAAAAUCAUGCUGACACAGAAGGUACCUAAGUCAUAUAAGACAGAAAAGGAGAGGUGGCUGAAAUAUCGGACAAGAUUCCAACAAGAAACCUCUCACCCCACAUGCUGCAGAGGGAGAGAGCCGCACCACAGCCGAGGCCCGCGGAGUCCGCGGCCAGGGGCACAGAGCAGGCCAGAGAAGGGCCCGGCGUGGACUCGAAGCCCAGCCCACGGGAGUCUGUUCAGCGGACAGAGCUGCCCCGAGUGAGGCCUGGGGGCGCCCCGAGCUCACGUGCUAGGCAGGGGGCAGGGCAGGUGGCGGGAGGUCACGCCGUGACACUGGGUUCGUGCUUAGGACAGUGCCUGCGCCGAGCAGAUCCCAUGUGCCUGUUUGCCAGCAGCCGGGAUUUUCCUCGGGACCCACUGGAGCUCCUGGGUGGUGAGAGGAGCCAUCCAAGGUGAGGCAGGUGAGCGGGGAUCGAGCCGGCUGGUGGGGGUGCACGAGGGGCAGCAGCCUGGUGAGGGCUGGUGGAGCAGAG
rnacentral:lncRNA from 1 species